AUGAGUAGUACAAGCUGUGCAAUCUUAAGUUGGAACAUUAGAGGGCUGAACACGCCAGGAAGACGAACUCCCGUGCGACAGAUAGCAGAGGCGCACCGGGCAAGUAUUCUCUGUCUGUAGGAAACUAAGCUAGAAUCCUGGACACCCAGUAUUGUUAGAGAGCUGGGAGGAGCCAGAUUGGAAGGGUGCGCUGUUCUUCCUGCGAGUGGCACAAGAGGAGGAGUUGCUGUGCUAUGGGACAAAAGCCUGGUCAGUUUUGUGACACACGCAGUUGGAAACUUCUCGAUCACCGGAAAAGUGUCCCUGAUCCAGGACAGACUCGAGUUUUGGCUCACAACUGUCUAUGGACCAGUCGACGACAUGCACAAAGAUGCUUUCCUCGCUGAAAUGGCUCACGCUGCACCUCCACAAGGAGAACCAUGGCUAUUGAAUGGAGAUUUCAACAUCAUAUAUGAAGCACGCGACAAAAACAAUCUCAACCUGAACAGGAGAACCAUGGGCAUGUUCAGAACAGCGAUUGACAGAGCAGGUUUGAAAGAGAUCAAAUGCAAAAAUAGAAGGUUCACAUGGACAAAUGAGCGGCAAAACCCAAUGAUGGUCAGCAUUGACAAAAGUGUUUUGCAACUCGGAAUGGGAUGCCCUCUUCCCCUCAUUCAUGUUGAUGGCCUCGGCAACAGCUUGUUCAGAUCACUGCCCUUUGCUGCUUGCCAACUCUGUGGCUCCACGCAAAAGAGCGGCAUUUCGCUUCGAGUCUUUUUGGCCAUGCUUUCCUCACUUUCAGGAAACAGUUGA
rnacentral:rRNA from 1 species